rnacentral:rRNA from 1 species
ACUGUCUCUUAUUUAAUUAUAAAAUUUAAUUUUUUUAUUAAAAAGUUAAAAUAUUUUAAAAAGACGAGAAGACCCUAUAGAGUUUAAUAAAUUAUUAUAUUGAGAUUAUAUGUAAAACAAAUUUAAAAUAAAAUUAUUUAUUUUGUUGGGGUGACAAAAAAAUAUAUUAAACUUUUUUUAUUUUAAAAACAUUUAUAAGUGAUUAAUUGAUCCAAUAAUAUUGAUUAUGAGAAAAAAUUACCUUAGGGAUAACAGCGUAAUUUUUUUUUUUAGUUCAAAUAAGAAAAAGAGUUUGCGACCUCGAUGUUGGAUUAAGAUAAAAUUUAAAUGUAGAAGUU